rnacentral:rRNA from 1 species
GACGAACGCUGGCGGCGUGCCUAAUACAUGCAAGUAGAACGCUGAAGAGAGGAGCUUGCUCUUCUUGGAUGAGUUGCGAACGGGUGAGUAACGCGUAGGUAACCUGCCUUGUAGCGGGGGAUAACUAUUGGAAACGAUAGCUAAUACCGCAUAACAAUGGAUGACACAUGUCAUUUAUUUGAAAGGGGCAAUUGCUCCACUACAAGAUGGACCUGCGUUGUAUUAGCUAGUAGGUGAGGUAACGGCUCACCUAGGCGACGAUACAUAGCCGACCUGAGAGGGUGAUCGGCCACACUGGGACUGAGACACGGCCCAGACUCCUACGGGAGGCAGCAGUAGGGAAUCUUCGGCAAUGGGGGCAACCCUGACCGAGCAACGCCGCGUGAGUGAAGAAGGUUUUCGGAUCGUAAAGCUCUGUUGUAAGUCAAGAACGAGUGUGAGAGUGGAAAGUUCACACUGUGACGGUAGCUUACCAGAAAGGGACGGCUAACUACGUGCCAGCAGCCGCGGUAAUACGUAGGUCCCGAGCGUUGUCCGGAUUUAUUGGGCGUAAAGCGAGCGCAGGCGGUUUGAUAAGUCUGAAGUUAAAGGCUGUGGCUCAACCAUAGUUCGCUUUGGAAACUGUCAAACUUGAGUGCAGAAAGGGAGAGUGGAAUUCCAUGUGUAGCGGUGAAAUGCGUAGAUAUAUGGAGGAACACCGGUGGCGAAAGCGGCUCUCUGGUCUGUAACUGACGCUGGGCUCGAAAGCGUGGGGGAGCGAACAG